AGGAGUGGAUGGGUGUCUGCCUACCAUAUAUUUUGAUAGGAGGAAAGUCCGGACUCCACCAGGGAGGGUGGUUCCUAACAGGAACAGGUAGUAAUACCUGGAAAGUGCCACAGAAAAUACACAAUCCACCAUAAGCCAUGGUGGAUGAAGGUGAAAAGGCGAGGUAAGAGCUCACCGUCUACCUGGCGACAGGUAGAGCAAGGCAAACCCCACCUGGAGCAAGGUCAAGUAGAACCAAUGGGUUUCCUGGCCCAAAUGGUUCGGGUAGACCGCAUGAGUCAGAAGGCAACUUCUGACCAAGAUGAAUAGGCACCUAAAAACAGAAUCCGGCUUACAAUCCACUCCUUCAU
rnacentral:RNase_P_RNA from 1 species